AUGUUUGCCAGUGGUCGCGUCCUUGAGCCGUUAUAAAAACGACAGGAGGGUCUAGAAAAACUCGGUGUGCAUACCCAACAUCAUGGGGAGCCUGACAGUUGACCGGGCCUUCCGCCUUGGACCACGACGGUUCAGGGCAAACCAACAGCGGCAU
rnacentral:other from 1 species